GCUAGUAAUGGCAGGUCAGCAUACUGCCGUGAAUACGUUCCCGGGCCUUGUACACACCGCCCGUCACACCAUGAGAGUUGGGGAUACCCGAAGCCUGUGAGCCAACUUUUUAAGAGGCAGCAGUCGAAGGUAGAAUCAAUGAUUGGGGUGAAGUCGUAACAAGGUAGC
rnacentral:rRNA from 1 species